rnacentral:misc_RNA from 1 species
CUAGAUCCUAGGAUCUGGUUAGAGGUUUGCAAGUAGAAAAGUAGGAAUAGAGCUUACAGCCCAUCAUGAGGUCUAAUCUCAUGAGUCUAUCGUGCCAAAGCUACUAAUGCUAAGAAUGCUUCGCCCUGACUAGCUAGUAAGGGAAGGUAGGUAAGUAAGAGGCGGAUCUAGGGAGUCUUUACUUCUUCGACUUCUUAUUCUUAUUCAUAGUUGAGAUACUCCACCAGCAAGCAGCACCGGAGUGAAUCGUAACGUUUCGAUCUGGGGGUCAGGACUCGUCAAG